AAAUAUUUUCGUCUUCGAGCCUUACUACCUACGGAUUAAAUUCUAAGGUAAAGAGGCCGCCUAGGGGUUAGAGAGAAAUUUUUGGCCCUCCCGACUUGGAAAGAAGGCAGAUAAGGGCCAAC
rnacentral:ncRNA from 2 species